rnacentral:rRNA from 1 species
GAUGAACGCUGGCGGCGUGCCUAAUACAUGCAAGUCGAGCGAACAGACGAGGAGCUUGCUCCUCUGACGUUAGCGGCGGACGGGUGAGUAACACGUGGAUAACCUACCUAUAAGACUGGGAUAACUUCGGGAAACCGGAGCUAAUACCGGAUAAUAUAUUGAACCGCAUGGUUCAAUAGUGAAAGACGGUUUUGCUGUCACUUAUAGAUGGAUCCGCGCCGCAUUAGCUAGUUGGUAAGGUAACGGCUUACCAAGGCAACGAUGCGUAGCCGACCUGAGAGGGGGAUCGGCCACACUGGAAAUGAGACGCGGUCCAGACGCCGACGGGAGGCAGCAGUAGGGAAUCUUCCGCAAUGGGCGAAAGCCUGACGGGGCAACGCCGCGUGAGUGAUGAAGGUCUUCGGAUCGUAAAACUCUGUUAUUAGGGAAGAACAAAUGUGUAAGUAACUAUGCACGUCUGGACGGUACCUAAGCAGAAAGCCACGGCUAACUACGG